GGAGUUGGCCAGGCGAUCGCGCCAGACAUCAGUCUGGGGAGGAAAGUCCGGGCUCCAUAGGACAGAGUGCCAGGUAACGCCUGGGGGGUGAGAACCUACGGAAAGUGCAGCAGAAAAUAAACCGCCAGUCCUUUUGGACUGGUAAGGGUGAAAUGGUGUGGUAAGAGCGCACCGCGCAACGGGUAACCGUUUGCGGCAUGGUAAACCCCACUCGGAGCAAGACCAAAUAGGGGGGCAUAAUGCGUGGUCCGCGCUGUCCCCGGGUAGGUUGCUUGAGGUGCAUGGCGACAUGUUAUCCAGAUGAAUGAUUGCCCACGACAGAACCCGGCUUAUCGGUCGACUCCCUUU
rnacentral:RNase_P_RNA from 1 species